UACAGAGGUCCCAAGCGUUGUUCGGAUUCACUGGGCGUAAAGGGUGCGUAGGCGGUCGGGUAAGUCUGAUGUGAAAUCUCCAAGCUUAACUUGGAAAUGGCAUCGGAUACUAUUCGGCUCGAGGAAUGGAGGGGAGACUGGAAUACUUGGUGUAGCAGUGAAAUGCGUAGAUAUCAAGUGGAACACCAGUGGCGAAGGCGAGUCUCUGGACAUUUACUGACGCUGAGGCACGAAGGCCAGGGGAGCAAACGGG
rnacentral:rRNA from 1 species